rnacentral:rRNA from 1 species
UACGGGGGGGGCAAGCGUUGUUCGGAAUUACUGGGCGUAAAGGGCUCGUAGGCGGCCAACUAAGUCAUACGUGAAAUCCCUCGGCUUAACCGGGGAACUGCGUCUGAUACUGGAUGGCUUGAGUUCGGGAGAGGGAUGCGGAAUUCCAGGUGUAGCGGUGAAAUGCGUAGAUAUCUGGAGGAACACCGGUGGCGAAGGCGGCAUCCUGGACCGAUACUGACGCUGAGAAGCGAAAGCCAGGGGAGCAAACGGG